UACGAAGGGAGCUAGCGUUGUUCGGAAUUACUGGGCGUAAAGGGCUCGUAGGUGGCCAACUAAGUCAGACGUGAAAUCCCUCGGCUUAACCGGGGAACUGCGUCUGAUACUGGAUGGCUUGAGUUUGGGAGAGGGACGCGGAAUUCCAGGUGUAGCGGUGAAAUGCGUAGAUAUCUGGAGGAACACCGGUGGCGAAGGCGGCGUCCUGGACCAACACUGACACUGAGGAGCGAAAGCCAGGGGAGCAAACGGG
rnacentral:rRNA from 1 species